GAGUUUGAUCGUGGCUCAGGAUGAACGCUGGCGGCGUGCCUAAUACAUGCAAGUCGAGCGAACAGACGAGGAGCUUGCUCCUCUGACGUUAGCGGCGGACGGGUGAGUAACACGUGGAUAACCUACCUAUAAGACUGGGAUAACUUCGGGAAACCGGAGCUAAUACCGGAUAAUAUAUUGAACCGCAUGGUUCAAUAGUGAAAGACGGUUUUGCUGUCACUUAUAGAUGGAUCCGCGCCGCAUUAGCUAGUUGGUAAGGUAACGGCUUACCAAGGCAACGAUGCGUAGCCGACCUGAGAGGGUGAUCGGCCACACUGGAACUGAGACACGGUCCAGACUCCUACGGGAGGCAGCAGUAGGGAAUCUUCCGCAAUGGGCGAAAGCCUGACGGAGCAACGCCGCGUGAGUGAUGAAGGUCUUCGGAUCGUAAAACUCUGUUAUUAGGGAAGAACAAAUGUGUAAGUAACUAUGCACGUCUUGACGGUACCUAAUCAGAAAGCCACGGCUAACUACGUGACAG
rnacentral:rRNA from 1 species